UGGGGAAUUUUGGACAAUGGGCGAAAGCCUGAUCCAGCAACGAUGCGUGGAGGAUGAAGGUUCUCGGAUUGUAAACUCCUUUUGAGAGGGAAGAAAAAAUGACGGUACCUCUCGAAUAAGCCACGGCUAACUACGUGCCAGCAGCCGCGGUAAGACGUAGGUGGCAAGCGUUACUCGGAAUUACUAGGCGUAAAGCGCGCGUAGGCGGAAUGUUAAGUCUGUUGUGUAAUCUCUGGGCUCAACCCAGAAACUGCAACGGAAACUGGCGUUCUUGAGUGAGGCAGAGGAGAUCGGAAUUCCUAGUGUAGCAGUGAAAUGCGUAGAUAUUAGGAGGAACACCGGUGGCGAAGGCGGAUCUCUGGGCCUUUACUGACGCUCAAGUGCGAAAGCUAGGGGAGCAAACGGGAUUAGAUACC
rnacentral:rRNA from 1 species